GGUUCUGUGGUCUAGUGGUUAUGAUAUCGCCCUUACAAGGCGAGGAUCGGCGGUUCGAAUCCGCCCAGAACCA
rnacentral:tRNA from 1 species